UACGGAGGGUGCAAGCGUUGUCCGGAUUUAUUGGGUUUAAAGGGUGCGUAGGCGGCCCGAUAAGUCGGGGGUGAAGCCCACAGGCUUAACCUGUGGAGUGCCCUCGAUACUGUCGGGCUUGGGUUAUCUCUAGGCGGGCGGAAUGGAAGGUGUAGCGGUGAAAUGCAUAGAUAUCUACCAGAACGCCGAUAGCGAAGGCAGCUCGCUGGGGAUAUACCGACGCUGAGGCACGAUAGCGUGGGGAGCAAACAGG
rnacentral:rRNA from 1 species